CUGGGAAGGAAGAGAAGGGAGAGGGAGGUAUGCUUUUUCUUUUUCUCCUGUCUUCCCUCCUUUCCACCUCUGCAUGUGAUUGGAAAGAGAAAGCGGAGCGAGACAAGAGAUCAGCAGGCACAUUGGUUUUUGUCCUUUAACUUGGGUGUGCGUGCACGUCCUCCCCCUUUGUCACCAACCUGCGCCCGAGACCUGCAGGUUUGGACACAAAGCAGUGAGCUCGGAGAGCAGCGAGCGAUUGGGGCAUCCUGGAUCCAAAGGGGAGGAAAAUCCUGCAGGAUCUGCAGUGGAUGUGGAUCUGCAGGAUCCACAUGUGCGCGCCGACCUGGACGAGGCACCUUCGACUUUCUGUUCAAACUGAACAGGCGUCCUCUGACGUGUGUUCAUGAAGAACGUUCAGAGCUGCGAUCCUUCUUUGGCGCCGAUUACCUUAAAUGUGAAAUAGAGGCCUUUUAGACCAGGUCAGGACAUGUCGGGGAACAGUUCAUGAACACGAGAUGCAUAUAACAACCAGCUGCCCACACGCUGUGUAGACAUCUUUCUUUUAUAGCUUAUAGUUUGACCAGGACAUGCGUGUGAUCUCUGACAGUAGGAGCUGCUUUUUAAUGCUUCACAUGUCUCUGUAAUGUAAACAUGUAAAUAAAGUCUUAAUGAAA
ensembl:lncRNA